rnacentral:rRNA from 1 species
UACGUAGGGGGCAAGCGUUGUCCGGAAUCAUUGGGCGUAAAGAGCGUGUAGGCGGCUCGGUAAGUCCGCUGUGAAAGUCCAGGGCUCAACCCUGGAAUGCCGGUGGAAACUGUCGAGCUAGAGUCCGGAAGAGGCGAGUGGAAUUCCUGGUGUAGCGGUGAAAUGCGCAGAUAUCAGGAGGAACACCAAUGGCGAAGGCAGCACUCUGGGACGUGACUGACGCUGAGACGCGAAAGCGUGGGGAGCAAACAGG